rnacentral:rRNA from 1 species
GACAGCAGCAGCCGCGGUAAUACGAAGGGGGCUAGCGUUGCUCGGAAUCACUGGGCGUAAAGGGUGCGUAGGCGGGUUUUUAGGUCAGAGGUGAAAUCCCCGAGCUUAACUUGGGAACUGCAUUUGAAACUGGCAAGCUAGAGUCUUGUAGAGGGGGGUAGAAUUCCAGGUGUAGCGGUGAAAUGCGUAGAGAUCUGUAGGAAUACCGGUGGCGAAGGCGGCCCCCUGGACAAAGACUGACGCUCAGGUGCGAAAGCGUGGGGAGCAAACAGGAUUAGAUACCCGGGUAGUCCCUGUCUCUUAUAC